AAGACUAUAGACCUGCGGAGUACCUGCGGAAGGAUCAUUAACGUAUCUAUGAUGGGGUGCGGAGCGCCCUGCUCCGGUCGAACGGCCGUGCAGCGGGUGCGCCGCCCCCGUCCCACCUCACAAACCCACUGUGAACAUUCACCGGCGGAGGGGGCUCGGUCUGCGCCGUGUCCCCGAUGCCGAAUACCCAAACUCCAGUUGCAAAGAACGUCGUGCGGACUCGGUGCCGCCUAAAACAUG
rnacentral:misc_RNA from 1 species